rnacentral:lncRNA from 1 species
GUGGGCUGGGCGGCGCGCGGGGAACUUUCGCGCCGGCUGCGAGUGCGGGGCCCCGGCUGCGGUCCGGCUGCCAUGGAUCCGCCGGCGGGAGCCGCUCGCUGCCUGCUCUGCCCCGCUCUACUGCUGCUGCUACUGCUGCCGCCGCCGCCUCUCUUGCUGCUGCCGCCGCCGCCCGCGAGCGCCCGGCUCGUCGCUGCCACGGAGACCCCAGGCGGGCCCCCGGGGUACGGAGCCGAGCGCAUCCUGGCGGUGCCGGUGCGCACUGACGCCCAGGGCCGCUUGGUGUCCCACGUGGUAUCUUUGGAGACAGCCCGGGCGGGGGUACGUGCCCGCAGAGCUGCCCCGGUCCAGACCUCCGGCUUGCCCGGAGGCGCUGAGCAGGACCCUGGAGGACGCCUC